rnacentral:rRNA from 1 species
GCGAUCAUACCAGCACUAAUGCACCGGAUCCCAUCAGAACUCCGCAGUUAAGCGUGCUUGGGCGAGAGUAGUACUAGGAUGGGUGACUCCUGGGAAGUCCUCGUGUUGCACCCU